CACCCCACACCCAUCCAAUUCUUACUGAAGUAAUUGCUGAACUUAAGAAACAAAAUGUUGGGGGAAAUUUUAGAUGCGAAUAAAUAGCUAACCUGUGGUAUGCAGUGAAAAUUGAAAGAAUAAUGAAACUAUCCAAGCCGACUUACUGAAAAUCAGAGUAUUGCAUGCUUACAAGCAUAAAAUAUAGUAAAAUAAUAGUAAAAUAAUUGGAGGUGUUCUGGGGAAAAAAAGCUCAAGUCUAUAUUCUAAAAUACUACAGUUUUUCUAAUAUAGUAUUUAUACUUUGUGGGAGAGCAUUAAUUUUGCUUUUCACUGAUCUGGAAGUACCUUCAGUUUACAGAAUUUUAAAUUUAAAAAGUAAACUUAUUUUAAAAAUAUAUUUUACAGAGCCUUAAUCUUUAAACUUAGAAAUAUGUUGGCUGAAAUUAGAUUAGUGAAUUCAAACUUUUGGUCAUGAAUGCCCUGUAAGAAAUGCAUUCACAUCAUAACCUGCUAUACAAGUAAAUGUAUACUAUACAAAUAUGCGUACAUACUUAGCUGAAAGAGUUUUGUAAGUAACAUUAUUAUGCUGUGCAUUCUUAUACUACUUUCAUUUCAUUUAAAAUAUUCUCGUUUAAUCAACUGAAUUGAUUUCAUAUUCAGUGGGUCAUCAAUCUGAACCUGUGGUCUGUGAAACACUUUAUAUGGCUGAAACUUCUGAGAAAAUAACCACAUUUAUCAAGGCCCUGCUCUGAUUAGCAUUAUUUUUUGGGGGGUGGGGGAGGACAUAAGACAGUCAAAGGUUUGACCUACUGGAACUUCUACAUAGUGUAGCAAUGUCCGUUCAUUAUCACAAACAUCUGUGGUGCCUACUGUGUGUCUGACACUGCUCUGGUGGGUGCUGUGGGAUGCCCUGGGGACAAAAUGGAAACAUUCUGACCCUCGGCGCUGAGAUGGAAUGGGGUUGGAUGCAGACAAGUGAAUGCUGCGUGAACGUAAUGUGAAACCAAAGCAGAAGGGGUUCCCACUAGAAACAGGGUGGUCAGGGAAGGUCUCCGUGGAAGGUGGCAUUUAAGCAAAGCCUGGAAGGAGGUGAAGGUGUCCGGGAAGAGCAUUUCAAGCAGAGAGAGGAGCCCAUGUCAGGAUCCCAGCUGGCAUAGUGCAGGGACAGCAUGGAGGCCAGUGCCAGUGCCGAGGCCGCCUUUGAGAGAAGUCAAGUAGGGUAUAGUGUGCCAUGUUCUUUCAAGUGUCUCUGACUUCACAGAUGGAGAUUUGGGCACCGUAAGACUAGAUUGAUUGAUUGAUUGAUUUAAUUGAUUUGAUUUUUAGAGAGAGAGAGAGACAGACAGACAUCAAUGUGAGAGUGAAAUAUUGAUUGGUUGCCUCCUGCAUGCACCGCGACCAGGCACCAGACCUGCAGCCUGAGUAUGUGAUCUGACUGGGAAUCAAACCCACAAUCUUUUGGUGUACGGGACAGUGCUCCAACCAACUGAGCCACACUGGCCAGGGCAAGACUAGUAUUAAGUUAAAGUUAAAGCUAACUUUAUAGGAGUUUUUUGAGAAAAAUACUUUCUGUGUUUUUGUAUGUUUUGUGUUGUUGUUUUCUUUUAGGGAGAGAGAGGAAGGAAGAGGGAGAGUGAGAGAAACAUAAGUGAGAGAAAACCUUCGAUCGGCUGCCUCCUGCACCCCCGUCGCCCCCCAUUGAGCCCCGCAACCCAGGAAUGUGCCCUGACCAGGAAUCAAAUCGGCGACCUCUUGGUGCUGGGACAAUGCUCAACCAACUGAGCCAUACCAGCAGGGCUUCUUUCUUUUUUUUAAUUUUAUUGAUUUCAGACAGGAAGGGAAAGGGAGAGAGAAAAACAUCAAUGAUGAGAGAGAAUCGUGGAUCAGCUGCCUCCUGCACGCCCCCCACUGGGGAUCAAGCCUGCAAUUUGGGCAUGUGCCCUGGCCGGGAAUUGAACUGUGACCUCCUGCUUCAUAGGUUGACACUCAACCACUGAACCACGAUGGCUGGGCCAGCAGGGCUUAUACUUUCUUGGGGUUUGUUUCACAUUGAUGCACAGAGCUCUAGUAUUCCACUGUGUGAGCACCUCUCCUGAUGGACAUUUAGGUUGUUUCCAGGCUUUUUGGGGAGGCUGGCGGGGGGAGUGGGGAGACACAGCAUGUUUUAUUUGUAAAAUCACCUCCACAUAAUAAUUAUAGACAGAUACCGUAAGAGAAUAUGCCACUUUGCUAAAAAAAGAAUACUUUUUAACAACAUAUGAAGCAUUAGGUACUAUCCCAACCCAUCUAGAAGUUACUCUAGAUGGCCUCUCAGAAGGUGGUAUAGAAAAGUUCCAAAAUCUAUAAUGAUUGGUUUAAGAACUAAAUUUAAGAUGCUAAACAAUGGACUUAUCAAGAUUGCCACACACACACAAAAAACAAACAA